ACGUACACUCCUACGGGAGGCAGCAGUGGGGAAUAUUGCACAAUGGGCGCAAGCCUGAUGCAGCCAUGCCGCGUGUAUGAAGAAGGCCUUCGGGUUGUAAAGUACUUUCAGCGGGGAGGAAGGCGAUAAGGUUAAUAACCUUGUUGAUUGACGUUACCCGCAGAAGAAGCACCGGCUAACUCCGUGCCAGCAGCCGCGGUAAUACGGAGGGUGCAAGCGUUAAUCGGAAUUACUGGGCGUAAAGCGCACGUAGGCGGUCUGUCAAGUCGGAUGUGAAAUUCCCGGGCUCAACCUGGGAACUGCAUUCGAAACUGGCAGGCUAGAGUCUUGUAGAGGGGGGUAGAAUUCCAGGUGUAGCGGUGAAAUGCGUAGAGAUCUGGAGGAAUACCGGUGGCGAAGGCGGCCCCCUGGACAAAGACUGACGCUCAGGUGCGAAAGCGUGGGGAGCAAACAGGAUUAGAUACCCCAGUAGUCCCAUGAU
rnacentral:rRNA from 1 species